GGCCCGGGAGAGAUUGCCGUUUGGCAGCGCCGAAGGGGACACGCAAAAACUCUCAGGCAAAAGGAUCGGGCCG
rnacentral:ncRNA from 1 species